AACCCUGUCGGGAUGAAAGAAUAUCGAAGAUGCAACGAAAACAACGUCGAUUUGAAUCGAAAUGGUAUUUUCGUUUCCGACGACGAAACAACAAUGACCAAUGACAACGUUAAUGGUGGUGAUACUGCU
rnacentral:sRNA from 17 species